UGUUCAGGGAAGUCAGACACAGUAAAAUCAGCUCCUGUAUUUGCCUGGUUUAUAGUUUAUGUGGUUGCCACGGUAAUGCAGCGAGCUGCAGCAGCAGGUUGAAGGAGCUGAAUCAUCCUCAUUUCAGACGGCUGUGGCACAGAGCACCCAGCAUUCACCGAGCUGUUGUUGACUGCUGCUGAGCUGCUGUUGCUGCUCACAGUCUGUUCCCCCUGCAGACUUCUGGGAAACGAGGCCUCCUGGAAUGCAACAGGCCUCCGGGAUCUGGACCUGGAUCAGAGAGACAGAGUCUGUUUACAGCCAGCCGGGUUCAGACUCUCCUCUAACGUCUGCAUCACAGAGUGAAUGUGAAGUCUCAAACUGCUGCAGGUCACUGUCUGUCUUCACUGUCAUCUGAUGCACAAACAGGAAGUUUAAACAAUGUUGUCAUCUGCGUCCGCGGUACAUACAGCCAACGCAUCUCUGAUGUCACAACUCCACACCUGUCAGCGUGUUUACAUGCAGACAGGCUGCAGGUUACCUCAGGCGCACCCAAAAUGUCUGCAGAGCUGGAGCAGACAGGCAGAUAAUAAAACCCAGAGGACAGACUGUGAGCUUCAGCAGCACAUUAGAGUCUGAAUGCAUCUGAGCUGUGUUUGUUCCUCAGGAGGAAGAGGAGCAGCUUGAGGUCAUCUUCAUGAAGUCAGCUCACACUUAGUUUGUGGCUCAGUCCCUCAGUCCUUUAUCAAAGCUGAUUCCCUCUCAUUUGCUUCAGUCUUUUGUUUCAGAUGAAUGUUUUA